rnacentral:rRNA from 1 species
GAUGAACGCUGGCGGCGUGCCUAAUACAUGCAAGUCGAGCGAACAGACGAGGAGCUUGCUCCUCUGACGUUAGCGGCGGACGGGUGAGUAACACAUGGAUAACCUACCUAUAAGACUGGGAUAACUUCGGGAAACCGGAGCUAAUACCGGAUAAUAUAUUGAACCGCAUGGUUCAAUAGUGAAAGACGGUUUUGCUGUCACUUAUAGAUGGAUCCGCGCCGCAUUAGCUAGUUGGUAAGGUAACGGCUUACCAAGGCAACGAUGCGUAGCCGACCUGAGAGGGUGAUCGGCCACACUGGAACUGAGACACGGUCCAGACUCCUACGGGAGGCAGCAGUAGGGAAUCUUCCGCAAUGGGCGAAAGCCUGACGGAGCAACGCCGCGUGAGUGAUGAAGGUCUUCGGAUCGUAAAACUCUGUUAUUAGGGAAGAACAAAUGUGUAAGUAACUAUGCACGUCUUGACGGUACCUAAUCAGAAAGCCACGGCUAACUACGUG